UAAAAUUUGAAUUUGGUGUAGAAGCUAAAAUUCUAAGUCUGUUCGACUUUUAA
rnacentral:tRNA from 1 species